rnacentral:rRNA from 1 species
UGCCAGACUCCUACGGGAGGCAGCAGUGGGGGAUAUUGCACAAUGGGGGAAACCCUGAUGCAGCGACGCCGCGUGAGGGAAGACGGUCCUCGGAUUGUAAACCUCUGGCUUUGGGGAAGAAAAUGACGGUACCCAAAGAGGAAGCUCCGGCUAACUACGUGCCAGCAGCCGCGGUAAUACGGAGGAUGCGAGCGUUAUCCGGAUUUAUUGGGUUUAAAGGGUGCGCAGGCGGCACGGCAAGCCGGCGGUCAAAUCGCGGGGCUCAACCCCGCCCAGCCGUCGGAACUGCCGGGUUAGAGUGGGCGAGAAGUGCGCGGAAUGCGUGGUGUAGCGGUGAAAUGCAUAGAUAUCACGCAGAACUCCGAUUGCGAAGGCAGCGCACCGGCGCCCUACUGACGCUCAGGCACGAAAGCGUGGGUAUCGAACAGGAUUAGAUACCCCCGUAC